UCGUCUGAAAGCGAGUCGUAUAUGUUGCUGUCCUCGGUAAUAAUCUCUGUUGCCAUCCUACAUAAAACAGCGUAGAAGCAAAGCUCUAUUACAGCUUCAACUCUUCUGGGAAGGCUGUCCACAAGGUUGCAGAGUGUGUUUAUAGGAGUUUUCCACCAUUCUUCCAAAAGCGCAUUGGUGUUCUAUGGGGUUCAGGUCAGGACUCUGUGCAGGCCAGUCAAGUUCAUCCACACUAGACUCUGUCAUCCAUGUCUUUAUGGACCUUGCUUUGUGCAGUCAUGUUGGAAGAGGAAGGGGCUCACUCCAAACUGUUCCCACAAGGUUGAGAGCAUGGAAUUGUCCAAAAUGUUUUGUUAUUUUUUUUUCAGCUUUUCGCUGUCAUGUCU